ACUGGUAGGCUUGGGACCGGGAGAGGUGGGAGGUACUCCAGGGGUAGGGGUGAAAUCUCGUAAUCCUUGGGGGACCACCGAUGGCGAAGGCAUCCCACCAGAACGGGUCCGACGGUGAGGGACGAAAGCUGGGGGCACGAACCGGAUUAGAUACCCGGGUAGUCCCAGCUGUAAACGAUGCUCGCUAGGUGUCAGGUGCGGUGCGACCGCAU
rnacentral:rRNA from 1 species